UUAAUGAAAAUCAACAUGACUGCCUCCCUUAAGAGCUGGUUUUGGAAAGGUCUCUGCAGAGGACACUGAGGAAACUCUUUGUUCAUUAAGAGCUCGAGAUUUCAGCACUAGAGCAAUAGGGAAUGGUCAUUUCCUGCAAUCCCUGAGUCCAUGCUGGACAGGUGAAUGGAGGAGCCAGGAAAAAGGAACCAUCGCUGACAAUAAACAAGGUGCACAGUCAAAGAGAAUCAUUUGGAGCUACCAGUCAUCGUGUCACAGAUUAUGUAUUAGUUGUGCAAAUGAAGUCCAAUGAGGUGUGCAACAGCAGUCACCUGGAAAGCACUUUACUAGAAAAUCCAGGUGUAUUUUGAAGUAAGGUGAGCAUAUAAUUGAUCUUCUAAAACUGGGAACGCCUUUUUUAGAGUAAAAGAAGGAGCUUUUUCAGAAAUUAUGCAGGGCAAUAGGCUGAAACUGGGAUUGUCGUAGACAAACUGGGACAAAUGGCCACCUGAAUUCUGACUUGGUUAGCAUAUAACUUUGCCUUGUCUUAAAAAGAAUUUAAGGCUGCUUAUAAAAAUAUAUGAAACUGAUUUUGUUGCUGGUGGUGGUGGUGGUAUUUUAGUGGAGAGAAAGUGUAGGGAAGGGUGGUGAGGGUGGUAGAUCAUGAUUAUGAAUGAAGUGAGAACCAAAAAUCUUCUCCAAACAUCUGGAAAUCAGGUGCAGUUUCACAACUGCAUUUAUUUGUAAGAUUUAGAUGUGCAGAAUGUUUGAAGAAUCCCUGUAAUACUGUGACUUACAAGGGGUAUAUAUUUGGUCAUUCAGAUAUUUAUUUGCUCUUCAUCCAUAGUUCUUGGCUCACAGCUGUCAAAACCCUUGGAAUUUCCUGAGUGAUAAGAGCCAUGAGAGCAGCUUUUGUUAUAAUAUUUGGUCUUUUGUCCUUAGUUCCUAAAAUGGCUUCAGGGCCAUAAAGAUGAAAUGGGCACCUUGUUAUUCAUAACAAACCUCCUGCCACAACUGAAUUUAUGUUAAUGAGGUGACUUUCUGGAAGCAUCUAAGGAUGGGGGCUCAUUGCCAGGUGAAUUAACCAUGUGAUUAGAGGGUUGGAACUUUCAGUCCCACCCUCCACCCAUGGGGAGGGGGAAGGGCAGGGAUUGAGUUCAGUCACCAGCUGCCAAUGAUAUAAUCAAUCAUGCCUAUGUAAUGAAUCCUCCAUAAAAACCUCCAAAGAAUGGAGUCUGGAGAGCUUACUGUUGGUGAAAGCAUGGAGAUGUGGGGAGAAUGGCUCUCUUGGAGAGCUCACAGAAGGCCUGCAUUCUUUCCCCAUAACUUACUUGCCUUGUGGG